GUGUCUAUGAUUUUCUUGACUGCCAAAUGACUGCUUCAGCUCCAGUGAUCAAGUCUAUGGCCAAGGCAGAAAGAAGGGGGAGAAGCGGACUUGCUUUUCCAUGCUGAAUGUCCCCAAGGACGGCCAUAGCUUCAGAAGCUUCUGGAAGCCCUCUUGAAAUCACAAGGAGGUGAACUUAACUAAAAACACAGCCAACCAUGAAUGGAUGGAGAAAUGGAGAAAGCAAAAGGUCACAACAUUUGUGACCGACAUAAACCAUGCUGGAACCAUAUAGUUUUGUAGUGUAAUAAAUUUCCUUACUUAAAUUCA